ensembl:snoRNA SNORD24 Small nucleolar RNA SNORD24
UGCCACAAUGAUGACAGUUAUUUGCUACUCUUGACCAACAAAAUGAUGAGCACUUAUACCACCAUAACCUUCCUCUGAGGCA